GGUAAAAUGCCUGAUUUUUAAAAGGAUUAUUGUGAUACGAUGAAUUAUGUAAUUUUAUUACUUUUACCA
rnacentral:tRNA from 1 species